UACAGAGGGUGCGAGCGUUGUUCGGAAUUACUGGGCGUAAAGCGCGCGCAGGCGGCCCUUUAAGUCUACCCGUGAAAUGCCGGAGCUCAACUCCGCGCACGCCGGGGGGAUACUGGGGGGGCUGGAGACAUGUAGAGGCAAGCGGAAUUCCGGGUGUAGCGGUGGAAUGCGUAGAUAUCCGGAAGAACACCUGAGGCGAAGGCGGCUUGCUGGGGCAUGAUCUGACGCUGAGGCGGCGAAAAGCGUGGGGGAGCAAAACGGGG
rnacentral:rRNA from 1 species